GGUUUCUAAACUUGACUCUUGGGGAUGCUAUAGAAUGGUUCAUGGAGAACUUUUCUUCUUCUCUUCACAGGAGACAGAGUCCUGACCACAAAAUGUAUGGUUUGCCAUCCUUGGAUAAAUAAUGUUGCAGCAAGAGGGGACCUACUUGAGUUCUUGACACAUUGUCUCUCUGCCCUCCCUGACCCCACUCUUCUCACUCACUGCUCUCGUGUCUUCUUUCUGCCCCAGCCUUGGGUAGGGGUGAUAUCCUUGACUCCAUGAAGAGUCAUAACUGUUCCCUACUCAAAAGAGUAAGGACCCUUGGCAGAUGUUGGGAAGGCUUUCAACUUAUUUUUGUGAGGUUUGCACACCUCAAUAAAAAUGUUUAUAGGUCGGAGAGAUUCUGAAGUAGAAACACUUUCCCUGGAACUCUGCUUUAAAGCUUUACUAUCUUUCUUUAGGGGUUCGAUUUUGCAAUGACUGUGAAAUUUUUGACGGCCAGAACUGCAACCGAGAAAUGAAAAAUUGCUGGAAGAUUCAUACACCGUUUCAAAACAGGAGUUGUCGCACAGAUCACUUUUACUUUUAUGAUCGCCUUACAGGGAGAUACCUGUAUCGUUACACAACACUAUCAUGUGAAACUUGUGAAGAGGGAAUGUUCCAGGUAUUCCAUGACCUCCUGAGGGAAACAUAUUGCUGUACAGAUGAUGACAGGUGCAAUGACCCUAAUGAUAUACCAGACAUUACAAGGGAAUAUGUGUCACAUGACGUAGACAGAAUCGUUAAAAAAUAAAAUAAUGAAGUUUGAAACCA